GUAUAGUCCGGCUUAGUAUACGGGACUGUCGAGCCCGUGACCCGGGUUCAAAUCCCGGCCA
rnacentral:tRNA from 1 species